UACGUAGGGUGCGAGCGUUAAUCGGAAUUACUGGGCGUAAAGUGUGCGCAGGCGGCCGAGCAAGUCGAGUGUGAAAGCCCCGAGCUUAACUUGGGAACUGCGCUCGAAACUACUUGGCUAGAGUGUGGCAGAGGGAGGUGGAAUUCCACGUGUAGCGGUGAAAUGCGUAGAGAUGUGGAGGAACACCGAUGGCGAAGGCAGCCUCCUGGGCCAACACUGACGCUCAUGCACGAAGCGUGGGAG
rnacentral:rRNA from 1 species